GGGUUGUUGGAGACUACGACGUAGAUAGGUCUGGUGUGUAAGUGGUGUGAGCCAUUGAGCUAACGGAUACUAAUUGCCCGAGAGGCUUAACUAU
rnacentral:rRNA from 1 species